rnacentral:lncRNA from 1 species
GCAGGAUCGGUUCUGCCAAGAAAGCUGUGCAGGUUCCUCAGGGCUGUUAUAUUUAGGAAUGGAGGGAGUAAAUUCAGUCAACACUUGCGAAUAUAUUGUGUAGCUGCAUUUGUUAAUCCUUGCAUUGCUCCCUAUACAUCGAACUUGGCAGUGCAAAUCUUGCUACUUAGUUGGCACAACCCAAUCCCUGCUCCCCGAUCCAGCAACGAUAAUGGAAGCACAUUUGGUUUUUCAAGUUGUGAAUGCAACCUAACAUCUGAAAGUGGCAUGGUACAGGGGCUUCACGCACGCUAUGCCAUGCCAGCGAUUGGCAUUGGAGCAGGGGGAGAAGAAGAAGGCCAAUGUUGCAGGCACUUGUUGAUUCUUGCGCUACGCGGAGCAGUAUAAAUACGGGAGGGCACCGCCCCAACCAACGGCCCAACCGCCUCGCCCCCAAUUCUUCAAACUCCCGCCAUUCCCAACGGCCGCCUCCAUGGCCUCCUCCUCCUCCUCCGCCGCCGCCUCCAUGUCCUCCAUGGCCUCCUCCGCCGCCAUGCCCUCCACGAGCUCCGCCUCCUCCUCUACGCGCACCGCCGCGUCCUCUUCGCUGGCCCACGCUGACGCCGUGCCCGCGCCCGUGCCUGCGCCCGGACGCGUCGACGACGCCGACGCUUCCUCUUUGCCGGCCCCCGCUGACGCCGCGCCCGCGCCCGCGCCUGCACCAGGACGCGUCGACGACGCCGCCUCUUCCUCUUCGCCGGCCCCCGCUGACGCCGCGCCCGCGCCCGGACGCGUCGACGACGUCGCUUUUCCGCGUCUGGGGACCGCGCCGCCGCGUCCGCCGAGGGGAGGGAGAGCUGCGCCGCCACCGCCUCCUCUGAGGGGGAGAGAGGCGCGUCGGCAUGGAGGGAAGACUCCCAGAUUCACGUUCAACAGGGAUACCAUCACGCUGUCGCUUGGUUCGCUCUACGGGAGCGCGCCAGGUACUGCGGCCACGGCCGAGGCAGCCGGGCCGACUGUGGGCACGGCCGAGGCGGUCGAUGCGCCGUCGGGGAACACCUCGGCGGGCGAUGCCGAGCCGGGGACGACCCCACCGAGCGGCGUCGCGCAAGGAAGAGUCGCCGCAGAGUCUGCAGUUGCCCCAGGUGCGGAAUCCCAAUUCGAUUCGAUUUCUUGAGUUCUUGCAAGCUAAUUUCCAUGUCGACCCGAUUCGAUUUCUUGGAUUUCUUGCAAGCUAAUCGGAGGAAUUUCCUUCAGGGGCUCCCACCCUGCCUGCUGUGCAGGCGUUCGCGUUCCGCGACCUGUUCGAGCAGUUGCGAAGCUCCUGGUCCCCGCCGCCGCCGCAGCUGCAGGGCCCUCCCUAUCGCGACCUCGUCCCGCUCCAGGGGCCGCUGCAGCCGCCGCCGCUGCAGGCAGCUAGCUAUCGCGACGUCGUCCCGCUCCAGGGACCUCCGCCCCAGUUCGCGCCGCCGGGCCACGCCCACUACGCCAGAGCAAUGCAGUUCGCGGCGCGGCCGCAACACAUGCGUUUCCACCUCUACGAGCCAGGGAGGCCAAGACUGUUCCUGGACGUGCUCUGGCAUUUCCAGGCGACGCCCCCCGGCCACCCACAGGGGCCUACACGUCUUCUGCCGCUCCCCGGCCACCCACAGGGGGCCUUGCAGCGCGCGUAUCCUCCUCUGCCGCCUGUUGGGCACGCGGGCAGCCUGUGCUGGGAUUGCCAGGUCCGGCCGGCGGCGACGCCGUUUCCCUGCGGCCACUUCUUCCUGUGCCUCCUAUGUUACCAGCGCCGCUUCUCGUGUCCGUGUUGCACCGGCGAGGUUCCCCAGCCUUUCUGAAGGUACGUCUGGUGUACGUAGAUGCUAUUUGCUGCCUGACAUUCAUCUUUUGCUGCCUGAAACAGAAACAGUUUACUGAACCUGUUAUAGUCCCAGAAACAGUUUACUGAAAAUGUUGUAGCUGAAAAAAACAGUUUACUGAAACUGUUAUAGUCCCAGAAACACUUUACUGAAAAUGUUCUAGUCUGAAAAAAAUAGUUUACUGAAACUGUUGUAGUCCCAGAAAUAGUUUACUGGAAAUGUUGUACUCUGAAAAAACAGUUUACUGAAACUCUUGUAGUCUGAUAGGUAUUGGGAAUUUUCUGCAACUGUUGUAAUCUUGUAGGUAAGUAAAAGAAGAUCUGUUAUUCCGGGAAUAAGCCAUCAUGGAAUUUAGAACUCCAAAUCAGUUGAUCCAUCUCAUUCAGCCUUAACAUAGAAGAGUAUGAUAUUCGUUUGAUUUAGCCAUUUUACUUGCGUCGAAUAACUCUGAACAAAACUCAGGUUACAGGAAUUAUAAUAAGAGAGUUUUUACUGUACCCUGAAACUAGUAUGGACCGUCCAUUCAUUAUAAUAGAGAGUUUUGCCAUGUGCAUUUGUUCAGUCCUUGAUUCAGAUAAUUCGGUUCCAUUUCGGAGCAUUUGCCUAUACAUCUUGUAGAUAAGUAAAAGAAGAUUAGAGUGCAACUGAAACUCUUGUAGUCUGAAACUAAUACGUGUUGGGAAUUGCCUGCAACUGUUCUAAUCUUGUAGAUAAAUAAAAGAAGAUCAUUAUGGAACUUAAAACUCCAAAUCAGUUGAUUCAACUCCUUUUGGACUUUUCAUAGAAGAUGGUGAUAUCCAUUUUAUUUAGCACAUUUUACUUGCCUCGAAUAAAUCUGGGAACAAAAUUCAGAUUCCAACAAUGCUAAAUUAAAUUAAUCUUGUUUCUGCAGAUGAGCAGUUUUCAGGUUUUGCACAUGAGCUCAAACCUUAGUCUUGGUUUUUAUUUUAUUUUACAGAAUUCUGAUAUGUAGAUUUUACUUCAGUUGAGUGCUAAUGUGAUCGUGCUUGGAAAAAGGAUAUUAUAAUACGUUCUCUUAGGAUCUGGUAGUUGUCUGAAACUGUUGCCGUUGUGUGUUGAGUAAAAGUUGUUGGAUGAACAUAGUUGGAUGAACAUAGUUGUUGUCUGAAACCUCUGAAUUAAAUUCAGGUAGUAUCUUACAAUAGGGCAUAUAAGCUUAGUUCCUUGCGCAUUAUAUUGUUUCAAGAUGUUUCCUUCUUGAUCUUGUUAUUGAUUAUGUCUGAUGCCUAACUUGCUUAUAAUUUCCUCUAUUUCAGCCUAUGAUGAGCUGCGAUACCCGGAUGUCGACGCAGAGUAGAAGAAGAUCCAAUGACAGAAGAACUGGACGUUUACUUUUGUCUACAGAAAAGAUAGAUAUAGGUCUAGAAAAAUAUAAUCAGCAAAUAUCGAUUAAACUCUCUCCGUUCCAUCGACAGAAUAUGUGCUUUGGCCUCGCAGUCCUAUGAUUCAGGACUGCUGGAAUUGUUGACGUUGGAUGUAGUUGCUUUUCUGACAUUCAUCUCUGUGAUGUGAGUUGUGGACGAAACAUUUGAACUUAGUUUGUUUUUGCAAUGAUUCGAUGGUCAUGCAGUUUCUUUAGAUCAUGCAUUUUUUAUACCUGG